AUACGGAGGAUCCGAGCGUUAUCCGGAUUUAUUGGGUUUAAAGGGUGCGCAGGCGGGAGAUUAAGUCGGCGGUGAAAAUUUGCAGCUCAACUGUAAAAGAGCCUUCGCAACUGGUUUUCUUGGGUGUAGAUGAAGUAGGCGGAAUUUGUGGUGUAGUGGUGAAAUGCAUAGAUAUCACGAGGAACUCCGAUUGCGCAGGCAGCGUACUAAACUACUACUGACGCUCAGGCACGAAGGCGUGGGGAUCAAACAGGAUUAGAUGCCCUGGUAGUCCACGCAGUAAACGAUGAUUACUAGCUGUUUGCGAUACAAUGUAAGCGGCUGAGCGAAAGCGUUAAGUAAUCCACCUGGGGAGUACGUUCGCAAGAAUGAAACUCAAAGGAAUUGACGGGG
rnacentral:rRNA from 1 species